CAGAUUAAAUUAUUAAUAUUGUAUAUUAAUUAAUUUACCAUUUUUUUUUUUUUUUUUUUUUGGAGUUUGAUUCUUGCUUAUUUGUUAAUUUAUUAAAUGUUUUUAUAUGUAAUUUUUUAUUAAUUUAUAAAUAAGCAGUAUUUAGUAUUAUUUAAAAUUUUUGUUUUUGAAAUAGUGAUUUAAUUAAAAUAGAUUAAUAUUGUGCCAGCAUUCGCGGUUAAACAAUAUAUUUAAUUUAAUAAUUUUGGUUUUGUAGUUUUAAUUUUAAAAAGAAUAAAAAUUUAUUUUAUUUAGGUGGAAUUUAUAUUAAAAUAAAUCUUCUUAAAUUUAAUUUACGAAAUCUUUUUUUUARACUAGGAUUAGAUACCCUAUUAUUAAAGUUUUAAAUUUAUUCCUGAAUAUUAAUAGUUAUGUUCUAUAAAACUCAAAGAAUUUGGCGGUGAUUUAUUUCUUUUUAGAGGAACCUGUGUUAUAAUUGAUAAACCACGAUAAAUUAAACCUUUAUUAAGUUUGUAUACCUCUAUAUGAAUGAAUAUUUUGUUAGAAUUAUUUUCUUUUUCUUUAAAAGAAGAAUUUUAGGUCAAGGUGCAGUUUUAUAAAGGUAAAUAUGGGUUACAUUAUUAGAUUUUAAAUUUGGAUUUAAGAAAAAAUAUUUUUAAUAAAAAAGGAUUUAAUAGUAAUUUUAAUUAAUUAAUUAUUUUGAAUAGAGUUCUAAAUUGUGUACAUAUCGCCCGUCACUCCUAAUUUGUGUUGGGAUAAGUCGUAACAUAGUAGUUGUACCGGAAGGUGUAGCUAGAAUGAA
rnacentral:ncRNA from 1 species